GACGAACGCUGGCGGCGUGCCUAAUACAUGCAAGUCGAGCGAAGUUUUUCUGGUGCUUGCACUAGAAAAACUUAGCGGCGAACGGGUGAGUAACACGUAAAGAACCUGCCUCAUAGACUGGGACAACUAUUGGAAACGAUAGCUAAUACCGGAUAACAGCAUUAACUGCAUGGUUGAUGUUUAAAAGUUGGUUAUGCUAACACUAUGAGAUGGCUUUGCGGUGCAUUAGCUAGUUGGUGGGGUAAAGGCCUACCAAGGCGACGAUGCAUAGCCGACCUGAGAGGGUGAUCGGCCACACUGGGACUGAGACACGGCCCAGACUCCUACGGGAGGCAGCAGUAGGGAAUCUUCCGCAAUGGGCGAAAGCCUGACGGAGCAACGCCGCGUGAGUGAAGAAGGAUUUCGGUUCGUAAAGCUCUGUUGUUAGGGAAGAAUGAUUGUGUAGUAACUAUACACAGUAGAGACGGUACCUAACCAGAAAGCCACGGCUAACUACGUGCCAGCAGCCGCGGUAAUACGUAGGUGGCAAGCGUUGUCCGGAAUUAUUGGGCGUAAAGCGCGCGCAGGGGGUUUAAUAAGUCUGAUGUGAAAGCCCACGGCUCAACCGUGGAGGGUCAUUGGAAACUGUUAAACUUGAGUGCAGGAGAGAAAAGUGGAAUUCCUAGUGUAGCGGUGAAAUGCGUAGAGAUUAGGAGGAACACCAGUGGCGAAGGCGGCUUUUUGGCCUGUAACUGACACUGAGGCGCGAAAGCGUGGGGAGCAAACAGG
rnacentral:rRNA from 1 species